rnacentral:lncRNA from 1 species
AACAAAGCAAAGCAAAACAAAACAAAAUCUAGCAAUUCCUAUAGUUCUUGCCUAUACUUGUUUUGGUUUGAAUUAUUUUUUACUAUGCCUUACAGUGUGGGAGACACACAGAAGAUAUGGAAGUUCUCCAGAGAACAUAUGGAAAGUGACUGGAUCUCUGGUCUAAUGUAUGCCAAAGUUUUUGAUCCAUUUGGAGUUGCGUUUUAUAUAGGAUGAUAAGUAUGGGUAUAUUUAAACUCUACGUACAGCCAUCCGGUUUGACCAGCAUCAUUUGUUGA